rnacentral:rRNA from 1 species
CUACGGGGUGCUGCAGUGAGGAAUAUUGCACAAUGGGGGGAACCCUGAUGCAGCAACGCCGCGUGGAGGAUGACGCAUUUCGGUGUGUAAACUCCUUUUAUAUGUCAAGAAAAUGACGGUAGCAUAUGAAUAAGCACCGGCUAACUCCGUGCCAGCAGCCGCGGUAAUACGGAGGGUGCAAGCGUUACUCGGAAUCACUGGGCGUAAAGGACGCGUAGGCGGGUUGGAAAGUCAGGUGUGAAAUCCUACAGCUUAACUGUAGAACUGCACUUGAAACUUCUAAUCUAGAGUAUGGGAGGGGGAGAUGGAAUUAGUGGUGUAGGGGUAAAAUCCGUAGAUAUCACUAGGAAUACCUAAAGCGAAGGCGAUCCCCUGGAACAUUACUGACGCUAAGGCGUGAAAGCGUGGGGAGCAAACGGGAUUAGAUACCCUAGUAGUC